CGGCGUGCCUAAGACAUGCAAGUCGAGCGAGGAGACUUCGGUCUCCUAGCGGCGGACGGGUGAGUAACGCGUGGGCAACCUGCCCUUCAGCCCGGGAUAACUGCCUGAAAAGGUGGCUAAUACCGGAUGCGGUGAUGCGAUCGCAUGGUCGGAUCACGAAAAUUACGGUGCUGAAGGAUGGGCCCGCGUCCCAUUAGCUAGUUGGUGAGGUAACGGCUCACCAAGGCGACGAUGGGUAGCCGGCCUGAGAGGGUGGACGGCCACACUGGGACUGAGACACGGCCCAGACUCCUACGGGAGGCAGCAGUCGGGAAUCUUCCACAAUGGGCGAAAGCCUGAAUGGAGCGACGCCGCGUGAGGGAUGAAGGUCUUCGGAUCGUAAACCUCUGUCCUCAGGGACGAUAAUGACGGUACCUGAGGAGGAAGCCACGGCUAACUACGUGCCAGCAGCCGC
rnacentral:rRNA from 1 species